rnacentral:misc_RNA from 1 species
AAGUCGUAACAAGGUAACCGUAGGUGAACCUGCGGUUGGAUCAUUAUAGAUUUAAUCAAGUUCAUUGUUAGAUUGGGCAACCAUCUUCAAUGCAACUCCUCACACCCUUGUGAACCACUGAACGUAUGUUGGCAAUUUCAUUGGUUUCAUCCUUGAGAUGAACUGGCUUGCGCAUUUGAUCUUGUUGAAUCAACUUUCUCUUUUGCUCUGUGUGAAGGAAGUGAAGUGAAGUUCAAUUGGAUUUGUUGGGCUCCCGGCUAGGCGGGUGCGCUUGUCAGCAGAGAGAACUUGUUCUCUUGGCCGGUGAUUUUGCCACCUAGGCAAGUGAACCACAUGUCAUGUUAAUGCUGCUUAAGAAUUGGGUUUAUUUGAAUGAGAAACAACUUUAGACAACGGAUCUCUUGGCUCUC